CGUGCACUGGUGGGGUCCCACAGCCUGGCCUGUGUCCUCUUACAAUCCGGGACCCCUCGGGAUCUCAGAGAGCCAGUUUCAGCCUAAUACCCGCAGGCCAGGCUGAGGGACUCCACCAGUGCACA
rnacentral:pre_miRNA from 1 species